AUAGUGGCGGACGGGUGAGUAACGCGUGGGAAUCUACCCAGUAGUGGGGGACAACUACCGGAAACGGUAGCUAAUACCGCAUACGCCCUAUGGGGGAAAGGCUUCGGCCGCUAUUGGAUGAGCCCGCGUCAGAUUAGCUAGUUGGUAGGGUAAAGGCCUACCAAGGCAACGAUCUGUAGCUGGUCUGAGAGGACGAACAGCCACACUGGGACUGAGACACGGCCCAGACUCCUACGGGAGGCAGCAGUGGGGAAUAUUGGACAAUGGGCGAAAGCCUGAUCCAGCAAUGCCGCGUGUGUGAAGAAGGCCUGCGGGUUGUAAAGCACUUUCAGUUGGGAAGAUGAUGACGUUACCAACAGAAGAAGCACCGGCUAAAUCCGUGCCAGCAGCCGCGGUAAUACGGAUGGUGCGAGCGUUAAUCGGAAUUACUGGGCGUAAAGCGCGCGUAGGCGGCUAAGUCAGUCAGAAGUGAAAGCCCCGGGCUCAACCUGGGAAUUGCUUUUGAUACUGCUUAGCUAGAGUUUGGUAGAGGAUAGUGGAAUUCCAGGUGUAGCGGUGAAAUGCGUAGAUAUCUGGUGGAACAUCAGUGGCGAAGGCGACUGUCUGGACCAAAACUGACGCUGAGGUGCGAAAGCGUGGGUAGCAAACAGGAUUAGAUACCCUGGUAG
rnacentral:rRNA from 1 species